rnacentral:rRNA from 1 species
UUAAGCGACUAAGCGUACACGGUGGAUGCCCUGGCAGUCAGAGGCGAUGAAGGACGUGCUAAUCUGCGAUAAGCGUCGGUGAGGUGAUAUGAACCGUUAUAACCGGCGAUUUCCGAAUGGGGAAACCCAGUGUGUUUCGACACACUAUCAUUAACUGAAUCCAUAGGUUAAUGAGGCGAACCGGGGGAACUGAAACAUCUAAGUACCCCGAGGAAAAGAAAUCAACCGAGAUUCCCCCAGUAGCGGCGAGCGAACGGGGAGGAGCCCAGAGCCUGAAUCAGUGUGUGUGUUAGUGGAAGCGUCUGGAAAGGCGCGCGAUACAGGGUGACAGCCCCGUACACAAAAAUGCACAUACUGUGAGCUCGAUGAGUAGGGCGGGACACGUGGUAUCCUGUCUGAAUAUGGGGGGACCAUCCUCCAAGGCUAAAUACUCCUGACUGACCGAUAGUGAACCAGUACCGUGAGGGAAAGGCGAAAAGAACCCCGGCGAGGGGAGUGAAAAAGAACCUGAAACCGUGUACGUACAAGCAGUGGGAGCCUCUUAAUGGGGUGACUGCGUACCUUUUGUAUAAUGGGUCAGCGACUUAUAUUCUGUAGCAAGGUUAACCGAAUAGGGGAGCCGAAGGGAAACCGAGUCUUAACUGGGCGUUAAGUUGCAGGGUAUAGACCCGAAACCCGGUGAUCUAGCCAUGGGCAGGUUGAAGGUUGGGUAACACUAACUGGAGGACCGAACCGACUAAUGUUGAAAAAUUAGCGGAUGACUUGUGGCUGGGGGUGAAAGGCCAAUCAAACCGGGAGAUAGCUGGUUCUCCCCGAAAGCUAUUUAGGUAGCGCCUCGUGAAUUCAUCUCCGGGGGUAGAGCACUGUUUCGGCAAGGGGGUCAUCCCGACUUACCAACCCGAUGCAAACUGCGAAUACCGGAGAAUGUUAUCACGGGAGACACACGGCGGGUGCUAACGUCCGUCGUGAAGAGGGAAACAACCCAGACCGCCAGCUAAGGUCCCAAAGUCAUGGUUAAGUGGGAAACGAUGUGGGAAGGCCCAGACAGCCAGGAUGUUGGCUUAGAAGCAGCCAUCAUUUAAAGAAAGCGUAAUAGCUCACUGGUCGAGUCGGCCUGCGCGGAAGAUGUAACGGGGCUAAACCAUGCACCGAAGCUGCGGCAGCGACGCUUAUGCGUUGUUGGGUAGGGGAGCGUUCUGUAAGCCUGUGAAGGUGGCCUGUGAGGGUUGCUGGAGGUAUCAGAAGUGCGAAUGCUGACAUAAGUAACGAUAAAGCGGGUGAAAAGCCCGCUCGCCGGAAGACCAAGGGUUCCUGUCCAACGUUAAUCGGGGCAGGGUGAGUCGACCCCUAAGGCGAGGCCGAAAGGCGUAGUCGAUGGGAAACAGGUUAAUAUUCCUGUACUUGGUGUUACUGCGAAGGGGGGACGGAGAAGGCUAUGUUGGCCGGGCGACGGUUGUCCCGGUUUAAGCGUGUAGGCUGGUUUUCCAGGCAAAUCCGGAAAAUCAAGGCUGAGGCGUGAUGACGAGGCACUACGGUGCUGAAGCGACAAAUGCCCUGCUUCCAGGAAAAGCCUCUAAGCAUCAGGUAACAUUAAAUCGUACCCCAAACCGACACAGGUGGUCAGGUAGAGAAUACCAAGGCGCUUGAGAGAACUCGGGUGAAGGAACUAGGCAAAAUGGUGCCGUAACUUCGGGAGAAGGCACGCUGAUAUGUAGGUGAAGCGACUUGCUCGUGGAGCUGAAAUCAGUCGAAGAUACCAGCUGGCUGCAACUGUUUAUUAAAAACACAGCACUGUGCAAACACGAAAGUGGACGUAUACGGUGUGACGCCUGCCCGGUGCCGGAAGGUUAAUUGAUGGGGUUAGCGGUAACGCGAAGCUCUUGAUCGAAGCCCCGGUAAACGGCGGCCGUAACUAUAACGGUCCUAAGGUAGCGAAAUUCCUUGUCGGGUAAGUUCCGACC